CUCUCAAAUGACUCAAAUCCCGAUUCAUCUCCUCCUCUCUUCUUUGCCGCCGUAACCAAACCCUCUACCUGUGCUUAAGGCGGCCGACCGAUGCCACCACGCCGGUGAUCUCCUCGGUGGACAAUGCUCCAAGUUGUAGACGCCCAUGACAACCCUUCAUCUCCGGUGCAUAGUCAUGUGGCUAGGGCUCUCGACAGCGACACGAAGAAGGCAAAAGGCAAGUAUACUUCUGUAGUAGGUGAGGAAGAUGUCAUCCCGAAUGUGAUAGGGACACAGAGGCGGAGUAGCUGAGGAAAUGAGGUUGAAUACAUCACACAAUGUCCAGGGGCCCUAAGUGUUAGUUAUUAGUCUUUUCCCUUUGAUUUGCUAUGUUAUUAUGAGGUGGAGACUAACUGUUGGUUUACAUUAGUGGGAGAUCACAAUUGUUUCUGGGGAGAUUUUCUUAUUUUAUCUUAUUUUAUUUUUCUUUUCUUUCUUCUUUUCCUUCUUUUGUUGAAAUUUUAAACAAACAUAUGGUGCAAAGUUGUUCCCUUUUCACGUCGGGUUUA